rnacentral:rRNA from 1 species
GACAUGCAGAGAACUUUCCAGAGAUGGAUUGGUGCCUUCGGGAACUCUGACACAGGUGCUGCAUGGCGUGUCGUCAGCUCGUGUCGUGAGAUGUUGGGUUAAGUCCGUAACGAGCGCAACCCUUGUCCUUAGUUACCAGCACGUUAUGGUGGGCACUCUAAGGAGACUGCCGGUGACAACCGGAGGAAGGUGGGGAUGACGUCAAGUCAUCAUGGCCCUUACGGCCUGGGCUACACACGUGCUACAAUGGUCGGUACAAAGGGUUGCCAAGCCGCGAGGUGGAGCUAAUCCCAUAAAACCGAUCGUAGUCCGGAUCGCAGUCUGCAACUCGACUGCGUGAAGUCGGAAUCGCUAGUAAUCGUGAAUCAGAAUGUCACGGUGAAUACGUUCCCGGGCCUU